AUUCUUUGUAGUUCAUAAGCCUGAUGAUUGGGUUUUCAUGUGCAUAUGUGAGAUGUGCCUCCCUCAAACUUUGUUACAGUGUUGGAACAUUUCCCAUCUGAUG